rnacentral:misc_RNA from 1 species
CAAGUAAACUCCACUUUAUCUUUUCCGGCAAUGUCAAACAACACAAGGAGAUGCAAUCAAUGAAGCGGGAAACAGCAGAACGCAUUAUCUCUCCACCCUUCCCACGAUAAAGACGUGCUUUUUCUAUAGCAGAAACUAUACCAGCUACAUCUUUCUGUUUAUCAGUGGCAAGUACAUAAGCACAUUGAUGUAAAGCCAAAACAACUUCCCCUAGUGCCAAGGUCGCACCAUGACGCAUGCAUAAAUCAGAGGAU